rnacentral:rRNA from 1 species
AUGCCGCUUUUGGGCUGUUCGCCCAUUAAUGCGGUACGUGAGCUGGGUUCAGAAUGUCGUGAGACAGUUCGGUCCAUAUCCGGUGUGGGCGUUAGAGCAUUGAGAGGACCUUUCCCUAGUACGAGAGGACCGGGAAGGACGCACCUGGAAGGAGACCCAUCAUUUUGCAAUGAAAACAACAUAUAAAACUCUGGACAAUUUUGAAAUCAGGCCAAGCGUCUUAAUACAUAUGCAAAAAAAUUCAUUAUUGGCCCACCAUUGAUUAGAAGAUUUCAUAGACCUCUUUCCGAUGAAAAAUCUUUUUUGUGUAAUUCCAAAUGUGAAGCAAGUCUCCGACCCAUUCUCCAGUCUCCCGCACUGCUCAAGUGUGCGAGUUCGUAUGAGGACCUCCUUCCCUUUUGCUCUACCCACUCUCCGUUCACACGGUUAUCAAAGCGGAGGAAGGGCGGGCAGCAGGUACCACAAGCCCUCUGUCCCACACAUCUAUCAAGAAGCAAGUGUAGUUCACCGGACUCAUUUCUUUUCGUAGUAGUUGUCCUCGGCAUAGCGCAAACGGAGCAGGUAUGUAGAUUAGUAAUAUUGGUCAUUCUAUUAUCAAAACCCCACACAAAGAUUUACAUCUUAAAAAAGUCUUGCAUAUCCCUACUACUUCACAAAAUUUACUCUCUGUCCAUCGUAUUGCCAUUGACAAUAAAGUUUUCCUUGAAUUUCAUCCCUUUUUCUUUUUAUCAAGGAUCAGAUCACGAGGAGAAUUCUCUAUCGAGGUAG